AAAACUUUUAAAUUAGUCCAGAGAGGCUAGUAAGGUACAUAGUACAAGUACGUAAGUACGAGUACAGGGAUAAGUAUGCCGUGAUUGGAUGAAACCCAACCUUGCUGCGCCUGAGAGGCAGUGAGGUUUUUUUAUU
rfam:[Clostridium] termitidis CT1112 Ct_contig00012, whole genome shotgun sequence.